UAUUGAGUGUGGCACUUUCACAGCAUCAUCUUUUAAGAUUUGAAACAGCUCAACUGGAAUUCCAUCACCUCCACUAGCUUUGUUCAUAGUGAUGCUUCUUAAGGCCCACUUGACUUUGCAUUCCACAAUGUCUGCCUCUAGGUCAGUGAUCGCACCACUGUGGUUACCUGGGUCAUUAAGAUCUUUUUAGAAUACAGAUCUUCUGUGUAUUCUUGCC